rnacentral:tRNA from 1 species
GGGGUUGUGGCUCAACGGUAGAGCACUCACCUAGCAUGUGCGAGGUCCUGGGUUCGAUUCUCAGCACCACG